AUUGAACGCUGGCGGCAGGCCUAACACAUGCAAGUCGAGCGAGCGGCGGAAGGGUGCGUAAUGUAUGGGGACUGCCCGAUAGAGGGGGAUAACUACUGGAAACGGUAGCUAAUACCGCAUACUAUCGGAUAACCCAUAUGGGAUUAGAUAGUAGGUGAGGUAAUGGCUCACCUAGGCGACGAACCCUAGCCGGUCUGAGAGGAUGAUCAGCCACACUGGGACUGAUACACGGCCCAGACUCCUACGGAGGCAGCAGUGGGGAAUAUUGGACAAUGGGCGCAAGCCUGAUGCAGCCAUGCCGCGUGUAUGAAGAAGGCCCUAGGGUUGUAAAGUACUUUUGUCAGAGAAGCGGUAUCUGCAGAAUAAGCACCGGCUAACUACGUGCCAGCAGCCGCGGUAAUAC
rnacentral:rRNA from 1 species